UCGAGGAUCAUUCGCAAUGCGCGAAAGCGUGACGGUGCGACGCCGCGUGCAGGAUGAAGGCCUUCGGGUCGUAAACUGCUGUCAUGAGGGAACAAUGUCCGGAAUGUUAACACCAUCUCGGGGUGAUAGUACCUCAAGAGGAAGCCACGGCUAACUCUGUGCCAGCAGCCGCGGUAAUACAGAGGCGGCGAGCGUUGUUCGGAUUUACUGGGCGUAAAGGGUGCGUAGGCGGUUCUGUGUGUCGGAUGUGAAAGCUCACAGCUCAACUGUGGAAUUGCAUUCGAAACUACAGGGCUGGAGUACAGGAGAGGAGAGCGGAAUUCUCGGUGUAGCGGUGAAAUGCGUAGAUAUCGAGAGGAACACCGGCGGCGAAGGCGGCUCUCUGGACUGAUACUGACGCUGAGGCACGAAAGCUGGGGGAGCAAACA
rnacentral:rRNA from 1 species